GGCUGGUCUACUCCUGCCCUCAAGUAAUCCUCCUGCCUGGGCCUCCCAGUGUGCUGAGAUUAUAGGUUUGAGCCAUUGUGCCUGGCCUCUCUGCUUCUUUUAAAAUUCAGCAGAGCAUCAUAAACAAGGGAGCCAGGCUGCUUAGGUUAAAAUGUCAGUUUUACAAUAUUCUAGUUAUGUGACUAUUAAUAAGUUUUUUAACCUCUAUGUGUCAGUUUCCAGUGCUGCAGGAUACCUCAUAUAGUAGCUAUAAUAAUUUAAAUAAUUAAAUAUCUGUAAGUUCUUAGACUAGUCCUUAGCACAUGGUAAACUUUACAUAUGUAUCUAUUAAUUUAAAAAAUACUCAUCACAUGUAGUAUUUUGUAAGCAAUAGCCAUGUUUUAUUUUAAAAAUUAAACCAUCCUUUAUCAUAUCUUUGCUCAAAACAUUUUAGUGGCAUUCUUUCCCAAUCAGAGUAUAAAUCAGAGUCCUCAUAAUAUCUUUAAUAUCCUACAUUAUGUAGCCUUAGUUAUGUUUUAGAUCUAUCUCCUACCUUUCUUGCUUGUUCAUGUACCAUCCCAGCCACACAACCCAUCUUACUGUUUCUCAGAUAUAACAGUUACAUUCAUACUAAUAUAUAUUUUUCGUCCAGUUAAAAAUUUCAUGUCUUUUCUACUGAGAUGUAAGUUCCUUGAGGUCAGGGAAUUUUUAUGUCUUUGUAUGUUAUCCCUAGUGCUUAGAACCGUGCCUGGAACAUAGUGGAAGCUUAUUAAAUACUUAGCGAUUGAGUGGCUGAAUGAAUGAAAGAAAAUAAAACAAAUCUCUUGGUUAAUUCCCUAGACAACACCUUCAGGGAAAUCCUGACAUUUUUAUUUAGGUGUCUAUUUAAAAUAGAUUUUAGAAUUGAUAGGGACAUUUGAGAUCAUCACAUUUCAUUCUUUUCUUUUAAAUUAAAGGGAAUGAGCAGAGAAACAGGAAGAGAACUCACAUUUCAUGACUGUUUGUUUGCUUUUUGCAUGGUAACACAUUUCCUUCCUGAACCUUGUGAUGGUAGUGGCAGAAGCCAGUGUCCCAAUGUGAUGUUGUGGUUUCGUAAGAAGUAAUAGCAUUAUAUUUUCCUAUUUUAAAUCUGCAUUACUUUUUAUUUUUACAUACUGGUAGGAGUGAAAUAUUGGUUUUUUAUUCUUAAGAGCAAAUGCUUUUCAUAAUUUGGAGAAAAUCAACCAUAGGACUGAUAAUUUUAACUUAGUUGCAAAGGUGCACUCUAUUUCUGUUCUGAUAAUGGUUAAAAGUUCAGCUGUAUUGAUAAAAGACCUGAAUGUAAGAGCUAAAUUUGUAUAACUCUUAGAAAAAAACAUAGGGAAGUAGUAAGAAAAGAAAAAUAAAAAAUUAGACAUCAUUAAAAUGUAGAAGUUUUGUGCAUCCAAGGAUACUAUCAAGAGAGUGAAAAGGAAUCCCACAGAAUAGGAAAAUAUUUCUAAAUCAUAUGUCUGAUAAGGGGUUAAUAUUCAGAAUACAUAAAGGACUCCCCAAACUCAACAAUAAAACCUAAACAACCCAAUUAAAAAAUGGACAAAAAUGUUAAAUAAACAUUCUCCAAAGAAGAUAUACAGGUGGCCAAUUAGGAUACGAAAAGAUACUCUACAUUACUAGUCCUUAGAAAAAUGCAAAUCAAAACCAAUAAUGAGUUACUGUUUCAUACCCAUUAGAAGGGCUAUUUAUUAAAAAAACAGUGUUGGCAAAGAUAUGGAAAAAUUACAACACUUCUGCAUUGCUGUAGGAUUUAAUAUUGGUCAGCUACUGUGGAAAAUGUUUUAGUGGUUCUUCAAAAAUUAAAUAGAAUUACCACAUGAUCCAGUUAUUCUACCUCUGGGUAUAUACUCAAAAGAAUUGAAAGCAAAGUAUCAAAUGAUUAUUGGUACACAGGUGUUUAUAGCAGCAUUAUUCACAAUGUCCAAAAGGAAACAACCAACAUGUUCUUCAGUGGAUGAAUGAAUAAACAAAAUGUGGUAUAUAAAGAAAAUGGAAUAUUACUUAAGGAAGCAGUUAAAAUUUGAACUUGCUGCAUCAUAGCUAAACUUAGAAAAUACAAAGUUAAGUGAAAUAAACCAGACAUAAAGGACAAAUGUUAUAUGAUUCCAAAUCAUAUAAAUAUUGUAUGAUUCCACUUAUAUGAGGUACCUAGAAUAGUCAAAUUCAUAGUAACAGAAAGUAGAUUACCAGGGGCUAGAGGAGGGGGGGAUUUGGAGCUGUUGAUUAAUGGGUGUAGAGUUUCAGUUUGGUAUGACAGAAAAUUUCUGGUUAUGGAUAGUGGUGAUGUUUGCCCAAUAAUGUGAAUGUAUUUAAUGUCACUGAAUUUUAACCUUAAGAAUGGUUACAAUAGUAAAUUUUGUUACAAUGUUUUACCACACAACCCUAUGUUCACUUGUAUUUUAAUUGUUUGAAACUCAGAGUACACAUUACCAUGGUAAUGGUAUUAUUUAGGGACUUAAAUUCCCAGGUUUACCUAAAGAGAUAUUCUUAAAAAAAAAAAGUGAAAUAUUUGAAAUACUGCACACUUGCAAUGACAAACAUGUGGAAAAUGUUUAUGAUCUUGCUAAUCAAAACAUUACCAAUCUUACAAAAUAUUUCUUACAAAAUUUUUAAUGCUCUAAGGUGAAGCUAGUUUUACUGUGGAAGAAUUGGUAAAUAAUGAAAUUAUGCGAGUUUUAGGCGCAUUCGUGGAUAUUUAGUAACUGGUUGUAUUUAUUGUGUCAAAUUGCAACUCAAUAAGACUUUUCAUUUAUUUAGUAUAGAUUUAUAAUACGUUUAUAUGAUAAGCACGUAGAAAACUUUAUUCUCAAGAAAUUUAACACCCAGAGUGAAAAGUGCUGAAAUAUUGGAAUGGAGAAGGGAAUGAUAAUGUGUAUUUUAGAAUAUAGGGAAGUAGGAAUUAGGUUGCUAUGAAAGAAAAUUUUGGGUGUAGAAGAGGUAGAAGUUAACUGAGGUGUAAAAGCAACAGGUAAGGAGUUAGAAAAUUACCUACAAUUAAACUCUAAAGGUUAAAAAGUUAGGGAUGAUAGGCAAGAAAACUGGGUAAAAUCAGAAUAGAAGGGAUUAACCAGGAAGAGUUUAGUAUUGUGUGGGCAGCACAAUUUCAGGAAAAGGUAGUUAGGUCAUUUAAAAUGGUUACUUUACUUAUAAAAGAGUACUGAUUUGUGUAAGAUUUAAAUAAUGAAGGAGAGCAUACGAUUGGAAACAUUUUCCAAAGCUAUUUGGGAAAAAUAAUGAUUUAAAAAUGAGUUGAAUAGUGAAAGUAUUAUUAAGGAUGUAAACAAGGAGUGCUAAUAGGUUUUAUCUUUACAUGUAACUCCACUUGAUUGCUUGAAAUGUUUAGAAGAAUCUUGGGAGUGUUUCUGAUCUUUAGUAGGAAAAAUAUUUGUGAUUGGUUGUAAUGGCUCCUGUGGGUGAAUUACGGUGGCUCUGCCAUCUCUGAUCUAAAUAGUAAUCAGUCAAAAGCAAAACAAC